UCUUUCUGUUUCUCUUUCUCUCUCUCUCCAUCUUCUAUUCUCUCUACCCUCCUCCCAAAAUAAACUUUCCACGUGGAUGGUGUGCCUGUAUGGUGUGAGUGACUUUCCACUGUCAUACCACCCACUGCUGCAUCUGUGUGGUGCGUCGCCCUCACCUGUGGGGCACCUUGGCCCAACUGCCAAGACCUCCUGCAUGCUGUAUCAUUACAAAAAACCUGCCUGCCUAGACUAUACUUCGGGUAAUAAGGGUCAAGACUUGGGAGACAGCCAGGAAGGCAAAAGGCAGAUAAACACCCAGACCAGCUGAAGAUAUGGUGGUUGGGGGAUGGUCCGCCCUGGCUCACCUAGCCUUUCCCUCUGCUAGGAGCUAGGCCCCUGAACUUUAAAAUCAAGUGGGUUUGUCAGUUGUCAAGUGGCUAGUCGUUGUUGAUUUAUCUUAGAAGUUCUUGGCCCAAGGGGUUCUACUUGGUACCUGUUUAAAAGUAUAGAGAUGUUUCUUCACAAACAGGAGGGUAGAGAUAUAAUUAGAUAGUCUCGGGUAGCCUGAAAGAAACUGUCUUGUCAGCAGGUAGAUGAUGUUGACUCCUGCUUGAAUGCACUCCUGGCUAGCUGUCCGCCUUUCCCUCUGAAUGCACACCUGCUUUGAUCUCUCAGUUAUUUCCAGCAGGAGACACCAAAGCCAAGACCUGCUGUGCCUUCUGCCUACUCCACAGCUGGAAAUGGAGCCCUCAUCUAGCCUCUGUCAUUGGAAAUUCAGUCCCUCAUCGGAUGACAAGAGCAAUUGCAAGAGACCAUGGGGCCAAGGAAGACUUGCUCUUCUGACACGAGCCAUCAAGCUUUAGGACGCUUCUGUAGCUCCAAGAAUACGUGGACCAGGCAGAUUUUUUUUUAAAAAAAUUCAAAUAAAUCUUC